rnacentral:rRNA from 1 species
GACGAACGCUGGCGGCGUGCUUAACACAUGCAAGUCACGGGGGCUCGCAAGGGCAACCGGCGAACGGGUGCGUAACACGUGAGCAACCUGCCGAUCUGAGGGGGAUAGCCGGCCCAACGGCCGGGUAAUACCGCAUACGCUUGUGUGGCCUCAUGGCUAGACAAGGAAACCUCCGGGGCAGAUCGAGGGGCUCGCGGCCUAUCAGCUAGUUGGCGGUGUAAUGGACCACCAAGGCGACGACGGGUAGCUGGUCUGAGAGGAUGGACAGCCACACUGGGACUGAGAUACGGCCCAGACUCCUACGGGAGGCAGCAGCAAGGUAAUUUUCGUCAAUGGGGGAAACCCUGAACGAGCAACGCCGCGUGGGCGAAAGAA